rnacentral:rRNA from 1 species
CAUGCAAGUCGAGGGGUAACAGGGUGCUUGCACCGCUGACGACCGGCGAACGGGUGCGUAACGCGUAUAGAAUCUGCCUUGUACAGGAGGAUAGCCUUUAGAAAUGAAGAUUAAUACUCCAUAGUGUAUUGAAGUGGCAUCACUUUUUUACUAAAGAUUUAUUGGUACAAGAUGACUAUGCGUCCUAUUAGCUAGAUGGUAAGGUAACGGCUUACCAUGGCUACGAUAGGUAGGGGGUCUGAGAGGACUAUCCCCCACACUGGUACUGAGACACGGACCAGACUCCUACGGGAGGCAGCAGUGAGGAAUAUUGGUCAAUGGAGGCAACUCUGAACCAGCCAUGCCGCGUGCAGGAAGACUGCCCUAUGGGUUGUAAACUGCUUUUAUACGGGAAGAAACAGUCCUACGUGUAGGACCUUGACGGUACCGUAAGAAUAAGCACCGGCUAA